ACGCUGCGGCGUGCUUAACACAUGCAAGUCGAACGGAAAGGCCCGCUUGCGGGUACUCGAGUGGCGAACGGGUGAGUAACACGUGGGCAACCUGCCCUCAGCUCUGGGAUAACUCCGGGAAACCGGUGCUAAUACUGGAUAUCAACUUUGCCUCGCAUGGGGUGUUGUUGAAAGUUUUUCGGCUGGGGAUGGGCCCGCGGCCUAUCAGCCUGUUGGUGGGGUAACGGCUCACCUAGGCGACGAUCCCUAGCUGGUCUGAGAGGAUGACCAGCCACACUGGAACUGAGACACGGUCCAGACUCCUACGGGAGGCAGCAGUGGGGAAUAUUGCACAAUGGGCGCAAGCCUGAUGCAGCCAUGCCGCGUGUAUGAAGAAGGCCUUCGGGUUGUAAAGUACUUUCAGCGGGGAGGAAGGGAGUAAAGUUAAUACCUUUGCUCAUUGACGUUACCCGCAGAAGAAGCACCGGCCAACUACGUGCCAGCAGCCGCGGUAAUACGUAGGGUGCGAGCGUUGUCCGGAAUUAUUGGGCGUAAAGAGCUCGUAGGCGGUCUGUCGCGUCGAAUGUGAAAACCCGGGGCUCAACUCCGGGCUUGCAUUCGAUACGGGCAGGCUAGAGUUCGGUAGGGGAGUCUGGAAUUCCUGGUGUAGCGGUGAAAUGCGCAGAUAUCAGGAGGAACACCGGUGGCGAAGGCGGGACUCUGGGCCGAUACUGACGCUGAGGAGCGAAAGCGUGGGGAGCGAACAGGAUUAGAUACCCUGGUAGUCCACGCCGUAAACGUUGGGCGCUAGGUGUGGGGGUCCUUCCACGACCUCCGUGCCGCAGCUAACGCAUUAAGCGCCCCGCCUGGGGAGUACGGCCGCAAGGCUAAA
rnacentral:rRNA from 1 species